CGAGGAAUAUUGCGCAAUGGAGGAAACUCUGACGCAGUAACGCCGCGUGGGGGAAGAAGACCUUCGGGUUGUAAACUCCUUUUUUUUAGGACGAGUGAGGACGGUACUAGAAGAAUAAGUCUCGGCUAACUACGUGCCAGCAGCCGCGGUAAGACGUAGGAGGCGAGCGUUAUCCGGAUUCACUGGGCGUAAAGCGCAUGUAGGCGGUUCGUCAAGUCGUGUGUUAAAGCCCCUGGCUCAACUGGGGGAGGUCAUGCGAGACUGUCGGACUUGAGGACAGUAGAGGCACGUGGAACUCCCGGUGUAGCGGUGGAAUGCGUAGAGAUCGGGAAGAACACCCGUGGCGAAGGCGACGUGCUGGGCUGUAACUGACGCUGAGAUGCGAAAGUGUGGGGAGCAAACGG
rnacentral:rRNA from 1 species